GCUGUGGGAGGGAGCAAGGCUGUGGGAGGGGGCGCUGGGCCAACCUGAAGCUUGCGAUGGCCUUACAGAAGCACCAGCAGCCCUGGGCUGUCCCUGGAAAUCUCCUGGGUUCUGAGCAAUCUGAACUCUGUCUCCUAUUUGUUUUCAAUCAUGGUCUUCACACAUGACCAGAUAUGAGAUGCAGAGAAACCUUUCGAUGAAGAAGCUGCGAAGAUACGAAGCUUCAGUUGGCAAGGAAUGGAAACAGCCAUCAGUCUCUGUGAAUGCACACAUUUUAAAGCAUCUCUAGAGAGGGGGGUGUUUUCUGUGCUGUGUUGUGAAGCCCCCCCCCAUACCCAUUUAUGGGUGUCAGUAUUGUUUUCCCACUGACAAGGCAAAGACACUGUGGCUGUUUUACAGUUGGAAAAGUUGAAGGGAGGCCACAUUAGUCCAGAGAGAAUUCCUUAUCUGGAGAGAUGUGUAAGCUUCCCAUGAGAAGUUUCCUUUCAGUGUUAAAAUAAUCCUGCAACUAACAGCUAAUUUAUUAAGUACACAGCCAAACAACACAGUUUGAAGAUGAGUCAGAGGCCUCUGUCACUUCUGAAAUUUUGGUAUUAAAGGAUUGAAAGUGUAUAAAACUAUCUCUGGAGAACUGGGAGAGAAGCUAUCAUGGAAAGUAAACUAUGUUCCUUCCAGGGCACUUGUGUGAUAGAAAUCUAAUCUCUUAUUUAUAUUUAUCUAAAUGAAACUAUUCUAACUUUAA